ensembl:lncRNA
CCGCCCCCCCCCCCCCCAACAGCAGCUUUAGACCGGUUGGAAACAGCAUGUCAAGUUACAUGCGUAGUGUCUUUAUAAAAUAAACAUGUGCAGUAUUCACAGGUUACAUGCACAGCUUUCUAUUUUUUCAAAAUAAACAUCGAACCACAAUUUAUUUUUACAGUUCCCGUAAUUAUCAAAAACUUCACACACCGUCGAGGACUCUUGGCAUUAGUUAAAAGCAGGUGCAUCUCACUCUGUAUAGGACUAAUUCAGUAAUGGACAACACUUUGGAUCCAACUAGUUCAAACACUAAAUUCAGCUCACUGUAAUUUCAUCUCCAUUCUUCUACCUAUUAAAACAUUUGAACCUGUAAAGGGAUCCACACUUGCCUUAGAGCGGAGUGGACGGAGCUCCCACUUUAGAAUGUCUUGUUUGCUUUGAGCUCCGCGGCAGCUCUCCCCGGCUGGCUGCGCCCUGCUGCUGCUUAAUGCCUUCUAGGCAGUUAGGAAGUGAAUGGCCUCUAAUUUCUGCCCCAUCCUCGCGUCUUAACAGAAUGGUAUUGCUAGUGUGUCCAGUGUCAAGAGCAAACGCUAUUGUCGUCUAAUGAGGAAGAGUCGAGAAGCAAUCUAACCCUGGAGCGGGGAAAGCAUUGUUCCCCUCCAACAUCCAAUUUGCACCGGAUUCAUCUUAAUGCAGCAGCCCUUGUAACUCUGGAUUAGUGAUAUAACUACGGUAGCGGGAGCUUAGAGUCCCAGACAUCACUGAUUGAUUGAGGUUUAGUCAGGUUCAUUUCUGCAGGACCAAAUCCACCUCAUUUGUUUUUUUUCCCCCAGAUCUUCCCUGUGUUAUCUUUCGAAAUAACGUACCACGGGGCGAUCCGAGGAGUGACUGCUGUGUGUUGAUGGACUGACCUCAGGUGGGCCGCAGAGGGCCAUGGUCGCGGCGGUGAGGGAGUGGGUUGCUUGCAGUAGGGAGACAAUGGCAGAGAAAACAAGCAUCUUUUAUCUUUUGAAGGUGAAGCAGUGUUGACGGGGACCAGAGGACAACCCUGGAGCUGAUUAAUAGCUGUAUUGAAGAAAGUUACAGAAGGCAAAUUGGAUGCACAUGGGGAAAUGUGUGGUUGUGGCCACUCUGUUCACUCUUGUGUCAGGUUUUUCUAAGUUUUUCUGUUUGCACCCGACGUGGUUCUGAUGCGGAAGAGAAAAUAAAAGCUAAAAUCAUAUUAGUGCCAUAAGGGCUUUAUUCAAAUAAAAUAUUGAAUAAAUUAAAGUCAAAAAUUGUCCAUGGUCUAUGAGAUUAUAAAGCCAUUAACAUGAAUAAAAGAAUUAAAAGAAUAAAGUCCCAAAUUUAGCUGCUGACUGAUUGGUACCAAAGAACUGUUCCUCUGGUAAAGAAGGCAAAGCCAGGUGAGGGUGCUGUAAUGUGUUGUUAAAACAAUGCUAGUGUUGGUAUGCAUAGUACUUCAUCCUGAUCUCUCAUACUGCCUUAGGUUAUCAGAUAGAGCCUGAAGCUGUUCCCGGUGUUCUUUCUGAAGGACUCACUGUGAUUGAGAAGGAGGUCUUGAAAGAUAUGUGCACAUUUCUAUUUUUUCUUUCUCUCUGAAAAAAUAGGGUUUGUUGACAAAAUAAUAAUCGAAUCGAAUUUCACUGAAUAUCCUGGGUUUAUCUUGUGAACCACAAUUUCUCUCUCUGAAUAUUUCCCCAUGCUCUGUGAUUACUUUCUUUUUUUGUUAGAUAAAGCAUACUUUCCGCACUUCAGGCUACUAAAGAAUGAGGGAAUGAAAGUAAUCAAUGUGUUGAGCUGUUCACACCUCAUGUCCAUAUAAUUACCCGGCGCUAAAAUGAGAGGGUCGCGGGGAGAUAUAGAUAUGGCUUCGCUUUAAAUGAUAAUGACCCCAAAACAUCUGGCAGCAUAUGGUGGAGGAGCAGUUUGGGGAAUUCAGACCGUCAAUAUGUGUGCUAAUAAUAGUUUGAUGGAUGUAAUGCUGCUUUGCACAAUCUUGGUUGGUUUUGUAUCUUAUGUGGAAAGUGCAAUUAUUUAAAGGCUCAUUACAUUAAAGUAAAUCCUGUCAGGAUAACUUUCUCAACUUGUGAUGAAGUUUGGGAGCAUAACUGUGAUUGUUUUUGUUGUUAAGUGUUGAAUAGUGCUGUUUUUCUCCUGGACUCCUUUGUAAAUUUGCAUUAUUUAUUCAUCAAAAAUGAUUUUCAAAGCUGCAUGGGGAAAAUCUCAGCUUAACCCAUAAACACCAAACUAGUUUUUUUUUGUAUGAUUAUUUUUUUGGUCUUCAUUUUAAAAGAAGAAGGAAUAUAUAAUGGUCGCCGUUAUGGAUGUUUUUAAAUUUCCAUAUCCAUACCAUUGAAUGAUCCUCAAUAGAAAUUGGGAGGAGUGGAAAAGACGGUUAAAGGAGCACCUCCACAGGUCAGAAUUGAGGUUGGAAGGGAGGGAAGAUUUCUUUAUUGUGGGGAAAAAAAUGGAAAAACAAAGACAAGUAUAUUGUUGUUUCAGUUGUGGAAUAAGUGGUAAACAACACGUUUAUAACAAGUGCAGUCGUAGAUGAUUACCAGAACAGCUGUGGAAGUGUGUGUCCCAAGGCAGGUUAGGGUUAUGGGGAGCUCACAGGCCUCCUGUGCUGCCCAAACAGCACCAAGACUCAUGAAGGUCGUGUGUCUCUUUUGCAACUUGACGUGCAUGUGUUCGCUACUGGGCUCAGUUUGUUUCAUAGGACCUCACACUCAAAGCUUUCGAACAAUUGCCGUGCCACCCCUACCUUGCAGAGUGUUACUCAAAGUGUUCAGCAUGUAUCAUAGGUGGUGCCAUGAGUCUGCAUGGCAUUAUAUGUAGUUUGUGUCCCCUUUGCAUUGAGCUAAUGAAGACGGAAACCACUCCCAUGUGAUGCUUGCCGUCACUCGACAAACGGGGAUCCGUGCCAUGGCAGGACAUGCGAGUUAAGAGUUCACACAAGACUCUGAGCCAUUCUGAAUAAUAUUCAGGGAAAAAUAGAACAAUCCCAUCUGACACAGCCCAUGUCAUAGAGAGUCUAAAUUAAAAAAGGCACGGCUUCCAAUUUAUACUUGUUUUCCAUGCUGAUGGUGGAACGCUGUAACUUGACAUUGUAGGACCAUUAAGAAUCAAACAACUUCCGCACAGGCCUGCAAAUAAGGCUCACCGGCUACCUGUCUUAAUUAAAAGCAAAAAGUAGUGGUGCUAGUUGGGGGGCAGACGCUUCAAGGAGGUCCAGAGGGAGUUAUAACUUUGCAGUUGACCAGAUGCGCCUGCUGCUUUCAUGCCUCUCUAUUUAAGUGGUCCGGUGCCGCACAGUGCCUCGCAGCAUAAAUAGCAGAUCUGAGGCCGUUCAUCCUGCGACACUGGAGCAGGGGGCAUACCAAAAGAAACACACAUUCCUUGCAGAUAUAAGUCCAGCGCAUGACCUCAAACGAUGUCUCACUUUUAAUUGUGUUUCCGCGGCUUCAAAAGAGCAGUGAUUGAGGGAACGUCUUUGAUCUUCCUCUGGAUUUAGAUUUAUCGAUAUGCUCUAUUUAAGUGGAAGGAACCUGUUAGGUUGAGGUCGAGGAAGUAGGACUCAAACGCAGUCUUUAGCAACACAGUACACUUCAUGCAGAAAACAGGGGAAACUGACUAUCAAAACAACUCACUAACAUCAACAAUGAACCUAAAAAAGAAACAAGGGACACACAUGGUUUAAAUCCUCGGCAAGGUGCAGGUGAUUGGACACAAGAGGAAUCCAUCAGGGACAUGGCAUAAAAACACAGGGGAAAACACAACAGGGCAGGAAAAUACUAAAUAAAACAGGACAAAACCUUGGUCUGUUUUUGGCAAGAUACUUGUCUCUCACAAUUAAAACGGGCCCGGUAGCUGCUUUAGCUGACUGUGGCAGCAACAAAGCUCUUUCAAUUGUUUAACAGGGGUUGGCGUUGUAGGUGUUAGAGCGAAGUUGGAUAUACAAAAUCUUAAAAUAACAUUUAAUUGGAUCUUUCCAUCACUGCAUCAACAUAUUCUGUCCUCAUUAAAACAAUGAACAAUGUCAUCCAAUUCCAAAAGUUGAUAAAAAAUAGAGCUUAACACCCAAGAAAUAAAUACUCUCAGAAUGCUUUAAAUAACAUUACAUUUUAGAUUCUCUUCAAAAUAAAAAAAAUAUAUAAACAAAUCAACAAAUAGGUGACCAAAAACAUUAUUCUCAGAUACACCAUCAAACUAAACUGCAGUGUGUGUGUGUUCACAGUGAUGAUGGAUAUGUCAUCCAUGGGAGGAAUAUGGACUUAGACCAAGGUGCAGAGGAAACACAUUACAAUGAGGAGAUCUUUUGCAGGGUUUUGAGCUUUCUUGAAAAUAAACUCUUCUUUACAAAACAAAAGCAGGACAGCACAGGCACAAGAGGAAAGAGGUAAAUUAGUUUGCGAGUGAAGGGUACAAAACAGGCAGGAACACUAGGUGGAGUUUAUGUGGGUCGUCACAAUCAAGUUUACCUUUUGCUCACAUAUGUAUUUUGAAUGGUUUUUUGGGACAAAAUCUCUACCUCACAGCAGCUAGUUGUCACUUGACACUAACCGGUGCCGCAAGUGACAAGCUGUGAGAGAACGUGUUGCAGCCCCUGGCACAGAGAAGGAGAUAUGAAGAUCUGAUACACAUGAGGGACUUGUUUGAAGACAAAUUUACUGUUCAUUCGGCUCUGCAUGAUAUUUGAUGACAGUCACCAGAUUUACUCUGUAAACAUGGAACAGAUGAAGCAAACAUGUAUCCAUUGAAAUGUUUUCCCUUGGAUAGACAGAAAUACAGGAAAACAGGCGCAUGUAUUUCUAUAACAAGUCCUGUGAAUGCGUCUUUUGCCUACUGUAUAAACAUUAAUAUUAGGGCUGUCAAUAGAUUAAAAAAAAAAGACUAAUUAAUCGCACAUCAGGUGGUUGUCCUCUGCCGAUCGCAAAUGAUCUGUUGAGAUUGAAGUAGGCUAGUAAGCUAUCUUUGCCUAGCAGUGCGUUAUCUGGUCCGUUAGCAAAGUCCUUUGCUCAGUACUCCGCUGUAUGUCUAUGCCUAAUGCAAAAAGCUCUGUCCCUUCUUCAGUUACUGUCUUGCUCUCCGAUCUCACUGAAUGCAGCUAGCAGCAGUUUUCUUUCCAGGUUCAACUCUGUUCACUUUCGGGACACUUUCAGACCACACCGGAAGUAAACAAACUGCAUUAAAAUAUUUUAUUGCAUUAAUCCCGGCCAGAUUAAUCGCAUAGUAAUUAAUAAGUAAUUGUGACCUAAUUAACAUAUAUAUGCCAGAUGUUAUAAACUGUAGUCCAGAGUUUAUUUGUUUUUUGACUUGCUCCAAACCCUCCACAGCUCCACAGGGACGAGUCAAACAUGGCUGCUGGGUCUCAAUGUGGCAGAACCACAGAUGUUUUGUGAUGAGAUCGUUCUGGAAGUUCAUCAACACCUAAUGACUGCACGAAUAUUUAAAGGCGGCCCAUGAAGCCAGGAAUCCUCCUGCUGAUAGAGACACCUGAGCAGUUUCACUGCUAGCGUUUAGUGUCACUUAAGGCACAAUUAGUGAGGGCAAGAGGUGGUGAGGCGGCAGACCUCCACGUUUACGCUGCAUUUGACACCAAGCGUGGCCCAGGGAACAACAAAAAGUAUGCUGGGAAAUUUCAUGUUUAAGCAGCAGUUUAGGUUUUAAAUGAGUUCCUGUCACAUCUGGCGCUGCGUCACCCAGGUCAACAGCUAGAAGAACCUGCUCAACUCUAGUUGUCGGUGUAAUAUUCUGAUAAAUAUCAGUGCUAUUUAAUUUAUUUUCAUGGGAAUAAGUUCAAGAUAAAAUGCCAGUUCAUGGUGUAGUUCAAAUUUACAGUAAAUAAUUAUUUGAGGUGUAUAAAUAAUUUGUUUAAAAUGAGUGAGUUAAAAGUAAUUCUGUUACGUGCAUGAGUUUAUGAGCUUAGAGUUUUUACACUUCCGGGGGAAACGCGGGAAGGGAGAAAAAGAAAAAGAAGCCACAGGGAAGAUGAGCUGAGACUCCAGGAUGCGUGUGUGAGUCGGACUCCACACGACCGUUUGUGUUUUGGUGAGCACAAGCCAAUCUCGGUUCCGGGAGCUAGCGGGAGCUAGCAGGAGCUAGGCUAACGCUGCAGUCGCUGCUGCCAGAGGACGUGUCGGUGCUGCUGGGGGACGGAGGUCUGUCGCUGCCAGCUGCUAUGGUCGGAGACUGCUGCUCACAACGAGCGAGAUGUUCGUAAAUUGCGCCACGGCCCUGCUAAUUCCACAUACGGAGGUACGAUAGAAAGUUUCAUUAUGAGCUCCGACUAAAGCGCGCCAACGAUAAGAGACAAAGAGUGCACUCAAAGAAACUUAGGCAGUUGAGAAAAGGGAAAACUAUACCCCGGGUUUCUCUAUUUUUAUUUUCUAUAUUCUUUGUUUCUCUAUUGAAAAAGGUUAGGAUGUGUGUUUUCUGCAGUUUCCAAUACACUAUCUAAAACUGAGAUCCUGUGUUGGUUUUAUUGAUUUGUGUUUAUUCUUGAAGGGUUAUAAAAGGGUUACAGGUCAAGUGUAUCACUCUAUGGUCUCCAACUUAAAGGUGAGGAUCAUACAUUACCCUAGACUGGUAUUCACACUUUGAAAUGUGACUUUUACCAUGAAACGUUUGAUAAGAGUUAAGGCCCAAUCUUCAAGCAUAAGGUGGGUUUUAAUACACGAGCCGGUGGUAAAAGGGUUACAUAGGUCUUGAACAUUUGGUUGAAUUAACACAGCAUUCAUGAAGCCGUUUCUUUUAAAGAUUGUCUCUAAAACAUGAAUUCAAGGUCCUACUACUCAGAGACCCGCUUAUAGUCUUGAAAAAGGAUUUACUGAGAGGUAAUGACUGAAAGUGGGAGAGAGGAUCAACAAAUAAAGGCCUUGUUUAACCAAGAGCAAGUCCUUGAAAACGGUGACACAAUGUGAGGCUGGAAAACAACAUUAGUCGAGAGAUUCGUCAAUAAGCAUGUAAGCUGAGGCAGCUCCGCACAGCAACGAUGGAAGAAGGUUGCUGUUCAGGUUUAGUUUGAAAGCAAAAAGGUAACGUAACUUUAAUUGUGUUACAUGUUGAUGCGUAGAACAGGCAAAUGGCACUUGUUCUUUAUUAAAGCUGAUUCAAUGUUACUGUUGUAGUUUCAUUGUCUCAAUGGAACGUACUUGUCUUGAAGUUGUUUUCUUGCAUGAACCUAAGCAAUCAUUUAACAAUUUUAACCAUGCAGUAGAAUGUUCCUGCAUGAGGGAUACAAAGCUGAUAUGGUACAUCUUGUAUGGCUGUUUUUAGCUCAGAAAAAUUGACGUUUCAAUUAUCCGUGUUUUUUGUUGGAAAAACUGCAAUAACGUCAUGGCAAGAAGGGGGUUUUAGACAAAACAAGACUAUGUCUGUAUCGUUUGCACGAUAAGUUGUGUGUAUAACAUGACAGCUGAGAUAAGAUGACCGCUCAAGAUAUGAAAUCUUUGUGACGUGUAUGUCCCGUGUCCAGAAGGCCACUCUGUGUCUCAUGAUGAUCAGAUGUAUGUCUCAGGAUAAAGAACAUGAAAGUCCUUGUACAAUUUUUUGCAAAAAACGACAAAGCCAAUGUUGUUUUUUGGGGAAAAAUAGUAUAAUUAAAUCAUUAUUGUCUUCAUCCAGGGAACCUUAAUUUAAAACAGGGGUGAGCCAAAUUGUUCCUAAUUCCUUUUUAAGUUAACAUAAUGGAGUACAGAUUUUAAUAAAUUAGAACACAAUAUUUAUUCUUUUAAAAUAAGUACUGAUACAACAAAGUUAUCAAUCCAAUUAGAAAUCAUUAGUUUUGAGCAGCUUUUUUCUGCUACUGUCACAAAACAAAUUUCUAGGGUGGACUUAGAAUAUUUUUAUAGUCACUUUGCUGAUAGAUAUUUGUUAUCAGUACAGUAGCGUAAUAUCCAUCACAGAUCAUGCACCAGGAUAACCAUUUAAUAAUGCACAUUUGGAUACUAAGAGGAUAAUGAAUACAAGAUGAAUCCUACAUUCCUCCUUCAGAGACACAUCAAAGAGAGUAUUUGAAAUUUGCUGGUACGAAGAUAAUUAGUUUGGAAAGCUUCAAAAGCAUAUGUACAGAGGCAGCUGUGAGGAAUAAGAGAGUAUCUCACUAUGAAGAGAAACAUAAGGAUUUGGAAACUGAAACUGUCCAAACAUUUUUUCCAGGGGGCAAUUUGCAGGAGCUCUCCAAGCUCAAAUGUCAGUUACACAAGAUAUGGAAAAGAAAAGGCAGAAUACAUUAAAAAACAAACUGAAAAUCACCUCGCUAGACGACUGAGAGGGAAAACAUUUCCUAAUGUGAUGCCAGCAAACAACACAGUGUUAUGAAAAGUUCUAUACAUUUUCAUCUACUCAUACAUCAGUCGGGAGAUAAGACGCAUCUUUCAAACUCAUACUUCCGCAAGCUACAGUCUCAGAAGGCGGUGGGGCUCUAGUUUCCCACAACAGAAGCAAAAGAAGAAAAAGGAAUGCAAUUACUCAAAACCACCGUGUUUUUAUGGACUCCAAGUUGACUAUAAAAAAGAGCUCAUAGAUAAACGUUUUUGUAAUACUUCAACAAAGUUAUCAAGUACAUAUUUAGGAAAUGAUGCACAAUCCAACAAUACUCAAUAGCACCAUUCUGACUGCAGUCUGUGCGUUCUUCUUGGGGUAUUACCAAGCUUUUAUUCGCUCCAACUAAGUGGAUUUAUGAGAAAACAGAUCCUAGAAUGAACAUGUUGGGUUGAUGCUUAAGCUGCAGAUGCUGUGAGGUAUUUAAAACAGUCUGCAAUCAAUAAUGUUGCCUCACUAUGACCUAAUUUUGGCAUCGGCUAUGUACACAGCAAAUUUCAGAGAGUUAAAUUGACUCUGUGAGAUUAAAUUUUAACUCUAAGCUGGUGUUCAUAUUGUCCCAAUCUUGUCAGUUUUAAAUCAACACUCAACAAAGUGUUAACAAGUUAACGCUGAAUAAGUGUCAAAAAUAUAUCUGCCCAGUGUUAAAUACAUUACAUAUAAUUUAGCUGACACGUUUAUCCAAAGCUGGUUUUUACAUUUUAACCUGGGGCGCAAUUAGGGGUUAGGUGUCUUGCUCAUGGACACUUUGACAUGGGAUGUGGAGCAGCCAGGUUUCAGACCACCAACCUUUUGGCUCCCAGCGCACCCUCUCUACUCCAUGCUCCACAGUACGUAGAGUUAAACUGAACACAAAAAAGUGUGACACUGUGAAGUUACAUUUUAAGCCUAUCAAAGAGUUAAUUUAACUCUACUGUGUCUAAGUGUCGCAAAUAAAUCUAAUCUUGACACUGGAUAAUGACUCCAGCUCUUUCGUACCAUUGACUCUGUAAGAGUUGAAUCAACUUUUUGCAGGGUGAUUGCAACUCUGCACUUCCAACACUUCUGACUCAAUACUCCAGUUCCACCAGAAAGUCCAACAGCUGAGCCUCAAGUGGGGCCCCUAGGCAUGACCCUGGCCUUCGGUCCUGCAAUACGAGUAUGUAGGGAGGGGCAGAGCCUUGUCCGCUGUGUUACUGGGCCCACUGGAGGGAAAGGACGCAUGGGAGAACCAACCAGGACCCUAAUGGCUGACUGUCAGCUCCAGUGAAACAGUUUUCUAAAAAGUACACGUGCUGAGAAACACCCGCCAAAAUAAACACAAACUAAAAGUCACCGGCAGUAUUUUUAUUGUGGUUCAUCCAGAAUAAAAACAAUCUGGUAUGUUAUUCAGCUUGGUUUGGAGAAAGCCUUGGAUAAUUAUGGAACUGGGAUUUUCAUUCUCAACCAUGUGUCACUCCCGCUUAACUUCUGAGUUGACUGGGCAGAAUAGUCAUAUAAAAAAACAAAGGCAGCGAUGAUGACAAAUGGACUGGAGUCUGCCUUUUUAGCCCCUCUGGAGGGACACGCUAGGGGUGUUCAUUAAGCACAUUACCAUUAUUUUCUGAGAGAUGCCGUGAGUUGCCAUAUAGGCACGCCCUGAACCUUUUACUUCACACAAAUGAUAUUGGAGCAGUGCUAUCAGACAUCAUGACAUAUCAAUUCUUAUGAACACUAUUACCAUAACUAUCAGGUUCAGAUAUUAGUCGGACUACACACAAGGAAAUGUCUUCUUACAGACAUUUCUCCCAUUUCCAGUGAGGACGUUCAGCUUUAAGAGUGUACCAGGUUCCAUCCUAAAACAAAGGAGCCAUCUUCUCCCCAUGCAUAUUUGUUCAGAAGAAGAUUGAAGAUCUUCUUUGUAACAGAGUUUUUUCUCAGAAUGUCACUAUUAGCAUUAUCUAUUUUAUUAUUUUAUUUUAUUAAUUAUUAUUAUUUAUGAAAUCGAAACAAAAAUAUCUGACAGAAAACAUUCAGCACUUUUGGCACCAUAUGGAGCCCAGACUUUUCCCCCUAGUGUCAAGACUUUGUUUAGGCUCUGGCAGGAGAAGGGUCUGGACCCACUUCUCAAACACGAGCAAUGGACUCGUUUGAGGGCCUGAUGAUUAAAUACUCUCUCCAACAGUCACAAUUCUUUCAUUAUCUACAAAUAACACAUUAUAUACCCACAACCCCACAUUCUCCUCGUACAACACAUACGAAAAACGUUUAUAUCUCAUGUCAAUGCGACCUUUGGCCUUAAUCUUAAUAACUCCACUGACAACAUCCGCAUACAGUGGCAGUGGACUAUCAGAUAGAUGAAGAUGCAUCCACAACGGAAAACAGGCUUAAGAUUCUGGUUGGUAGCACAGACCGAGAAAGACAAUUUAAAAUAUUACCCAGACUGCAUUGCACACCACUGCUGAGGGCGAGGCCCUACAUGCAGUAAAUGUAAUGCUGAAGGUGGAAUUCAUAUCUACAUGUUUUGGAAGUGUGCAAAUUUAAACAUUUUGGGGAUAUGUCUUUGAGCGGUCACCUCCUCAAUGUAUUCUGGCAGCCAAAGUGAGCAGUGCAAGGAGUACAAACAACGCUAAACUGAUUGUCAUGAAGGGUGUGGCUCAGAGGAUUUGUCAAAAUAUGGAAACAUUCAUGUUUUUUUAAGAAAAACAAAAAGAUUCAAUUUCUUUUCAUUAUAAUAAUAAUACAUUUAAAAAAUUGUCAAUAUUUGUGUUCUUUUUUUAAAAUAUGGAAUAUACCCAGUAAGAUAUCUCUGAAAAAUACAUGCUUUUCCUGCACGUCCUCUGUGCUUGUGUGCAUGUCUCAGCUGGGCUGGGGCAAGAGCCAUCCGGCCUAAAAGAGGCCGGUCUAAGAAGCAGUAUCACCGAUUACGGAUUAGAUAUAAAUAAUUAGUUAGCCAAUCAGCGUUUCUAAAUCCGAUUCAGCCUUGGCCAUCGUCAACCAUCCCCAACGAUGCGUUCUCGUCAGGGCUAAUGUCGCGAGGCGCCCUUUUAACGACAUGACCAUGGCAAGCACAAGCAAUAUUCUUCAAAGAAGACCAAACCAUAUCCCGGUAAAAUCUCUCCUCUAAGACCUGUUUGAGAGAAGAAAUUUGGCAGAGAAACUAGAGGUAAAAAACAACUAGGCCCAGACUAACCUGACGACAGACUGACGUGAAAGGGAAGCCCGAAGCUUCUGUAGAGACUGCUACACCCGGAAGGUUUUUGCUUCCCAGGCUGGCUUUUUAAAUCAAUGGGGACCGAAUCCAGCAUGAACCGAUACAGUAGUAAGCACUUAUUUGAAAAAAAUAUAUGGAUAACUCCUUCAAGCCAGCCGUAUUAGGUAGAGUUAACAUUAGUACCCAGCUGGACGACGGACACAGGAAAGCAAUAAUUGUUUGAUACCUUUUUUUGUGUUGAAUCACAGAGAUCCAUCUAUCCAUGCACACAGGGUCACGGGGGAGCUGGAGUCUAUCCCAGCCAACUUCGGGCGAUAGACUGGGUACACCCCGGACUGGUCGCCAGGCAAUCACAGGGCUGAAUCACAGAAAUGUUUAAUGAAAUCGAUUGAAUGAUGGCCAUACCAAAAAUGAAUUCCUUGCCACCACUGUAAUAGCUGUAAUGUGCAGUUUUAUUUUCUUGAAUGGUUAGAAAAAUGUAUUUGAUCCCGUUGAUCCGUUUGGGUCAGAAAUCCAACGUAUGUUUAUUGUCUUUGAACCAUAAGUGGCUUCUGAAAAAUCUCUGCGGAGUGGAGUGUAAUUUGUAACUUAAUCCAUCACAGCAAACAUAUUGUGUGUUUUUUAUAUCCCGUCUGAGUCGUGUCAUGGUUGCCAGGUGCUGCAGGGCAAACUGCACAAUGAUGAAACACGCUGUGCACCAGUAUUCUGCAGGAGUCUCUUGGUGGUUUGAAACUGAAUGGCAAAUCAAUUGACCCGCGGCAGCUGAAGAUCAUUUCAAAGGUAUGCAAAUCACAUUACAUCACAUGUAAAAUGAGUCUCACAUUCGCACCGAGUCAUGUUUCCCCUACAAGUCAAACGCAGCGUUCUCCUCAUCAUAAUGGAUAAACAACGAGAUCUCCUUCUAAUUGGAUGGCGGCCGGGGCCUGCCUUCUAUACAUCUUGGAAAUAGAAGCCUGCCAAAGCACAAAGUAAUUAAAAACCCAAAUAAAACAUGAUGGUCUUCUAAAAGCCAUGCCUUUAAUGAACAAAAGGACUAAUUAAUUGCACUGUGUCAAGGAGCAUACUCGCACUGAAUUAUAGAUGAGAUGUGAGGGGUGCCAAGUUCCCAGAGUGAUAGGAGAUAUAUGGGGUAUGAAACAAUUAAAAGAGGCAUUAAAACAGACACUGCGUCAUGCCACAAAAAAUCUCUCUGCUGUCUUUGUACAGACAAAAGCAAAUCCACAUAACAUUUUAUGAUUUACCAACCUUAGUAAUGGUAUAAAUAUAUAUCCAAACUAGCAGAACUUGCUUGGAUUUAUUCUAACUAAAAUGUCUAGAGACCAAAAAAAAAGUCCAUUAUUAACCAGAAUCUGAUAUCAAUAAUUUGAUCUGCAUUUGUGAAGAAAAAUGAGGAUCAGGAGAGAUGCUCCCACGGGAAAAUACUCCACUCUGUCUUCUGUCAUUCAUGAGUACGUUCUAGUACUUUCCUGAGGGGAGCAUUCAGAACUCCAGUCAUACAUUUUCAUUUGGCUGUUCAGUACAGUACAUAAGCAACAACGGUGUUAUGAGCUUUGACACAUUGUUUACUGUAAGGGUCACAUCCUUCAUGAGAUGUUUUUUCAUUUAGUUGUAUGUGUCACAUGUCGAAAACAAAACAUUUGUUAAAACACUUCUGCAAUCAAAUAAACCACAUAAAAAAGCUCAGACACAACAUCAGGAGAGGUAUUCACAGAAAACUAUGAAUCCUGGAUGACCACUUGAGGGAGUGCCUAACACUGGAUUUAUUUCUGUAUCACGCAUGCGCAGGGUAAGUCGCUAUACCGACAGAGUCACCCGUGACCUUGGACGAUCCUCGUCGUCUAUAAGUUUCAGUGUCAACGUUCCACUCUUAAAAUAAUCUUUUUGAUUUAAGGAAAGAAAAAGAGCUUACCAAAUCAGUCACCUAAAAAAGGCUUUCCUCGAGGUUGAUCCACUGCUCGUCUCGUUCAAAACUGCGUGGGCCCUCAAUUUAGGCAGCCUAUUACCUGCCUGCAGUAUUUGAAUUAGGGAAAAAGGUGCAUUCAAUGUGCAGAUCCAAAUUGUGUCCACAGCGGGUGCGCCGUUUGACAGUGAGCGAUCCGUAGGGGGAGUGGAUCCGGUGCGCAUGGCCAAACCAAGUCUGACUCUACAGCGGAUCUGGCUGACUGAGGGCCGAUCCGCCCCAGAGUAGACAGGAUGACACCAGAAUUUAUAGACCAUGGGGAUCAUCUGAGGUCACAGAUGACAUUGACCGAGACAGACCAUAAUCCAUAUCGUAUAUGUCUCUAUAAUAUCUAUAAUAUCCGGCCACGUCACCGUUCAAAAACAAAAGCCGGCCCCUGGGUACAGUUGAACACAGUUUAUUUUGGUUAAUUGACAGUAAAGGGGGGUAAGCUCAACACGUCACCAUUCACAAGCCGUUCUCGUCGUCUUCUUUUGCCAGGUCAUACACAAGCGGGUUCUCUACUCGACUUUCCGAAACUACGUCUCACUUUUUUUUCAUCUCUCUUCCUCUCAAUUUUUAUGCUCUCCUCAAUAACUAAACUGUUCCCACCCUCUCUAGGCAGGAUGUCCAUAUAAGGCUUGGGGGUGGAGCCAUCUGACCGCAAGAUACCUCCCCUGCAUCACCAAGCCCUCACCUCUCCCUGCAGUCUACCACAAUAUGUACAUAUCUUUUAUCUUGUACUCCGUGUGCUACGGUUUUACCAAAAAACUGAUGAAUGAAUGAAUCGGGUUAAUUUAAGUAAGUUAAAAGACAUAAUUUGGCCGUUUACACUUUGGUCAUGUCAUCAAGAGGAAUGUUGAACAGGCCAACUUUAGGACGAGGUACUCGUGUAACAGGCGGUUGUUGAUAUGUUGAAACUCUAACUAAUACACUUAGUUCAGUUGUUUGAUCAGACAGUUGAAUAGACAUUUGAGAGAAAAUGAACCCCUGUUUAACACCUGGCUGAAUCUUUUUUAUCGGGUUGAUUCCAGUUGCUACAUUUUUCCCCACAUACUUUAAUUAGUGAAGCUAAAGUAACACAUUUUUAUUUUUGAAAUGGUCAAGAUCCUGGCCAGAUAAUAAUUUUGAGUUUACUUCAGAUGCUCCGGUUCUAACACUAAAAAGCAGGAAUGAAUGCCCGCCCCCCGGUACCCAGCGCAUACGGUGAAAGACAAGAAUGAGCUAUUGGGAAUGCUUCUGCAAUUCUGUUUCUUCACAGGCUCAUGUUAAGCACAGUUGGCUGACGUUAGAGGACAUAGCUUAGCUAACACAACAAUAGCUUAGUUCGUUCAACAGCAACUCAAAUUGACAUUUGAGAGGGAAUGACCUGUUUAACGCCUUGCUAGAUAUUUUUUAUUGGGUUUGAGUUCAGGGCUUUGACACAUUGUUUACUGUGAGUGUCUUCAUGCCUUGAUGAGAUGUUUUUUCAUUUAGUUUAAUUAAAGAUCACCAGAUGGAUUCUCACAACAGCCUGGGUAGAGUUCAGAUCAGCCGAUUCGGGGCGGAUGACCACUCUAUUGAUUUGUUUAAUCAACCUAAAUAUGACGAAAGUGACGUCAAGCGAUCCCUGACUUCCCCUCGCUUUUACUUUGAAAAAACGGGAAAAGCAUCACAUGACACUCAAUAUUUCUGAUUGGCUCAAAAAAAAACUACCAGACGACUGCAGGAGCCAUUUUACCUCGCACUGAGCCCUGGCAACCGCUGAUUAAAUCAGUGAAAAAACGACAAUUUACACAUUCCUGAGUUUUUCGCUUCCAUGGCUUGAUGAGUUUUGUACUGGUUCGGCAUGGUUUGUCAGCAAAAUGAUACUUAUUUCACCGUAAUCAGCGUGUUCCCCUUGUGUGUGGGAAGUGUGGCUAGCUUGAAGCGUCAUAAAAAUAUGGCACAUUUGUUCGGUCAAUUCCAACAUUUCUGGACAAAUCUGCAUGGAGUAUGUUACUCCUCUUACUCUUACUUUUACUCCUACUUGGUAAAAAUUGUCUUCUUGCUUAUUGUAGCCAGGACUCAGAGGAUUGAACCCUGGCUUUGCCUGCGCAGGCUGCUGAGCUACGUGUGUGUGCGCUCAGAUAUAUUUCUAUUUUAUUGAUGCAAUGUUUUGGCGGGCUUUGUCUAAGAGAAAUAAAACCUAAAUGACUAGAUUCGGCUGAUGCUAUUUGAUUUUGUUUUCCAUUGUAGCACUUUUGACUGAAAAAGUUUUACACCACCAUACUCACAAUUUUUCAGUUCUGUUCUGUUUGGAGUAAUUUCAUUUUGAUUGAUGAUUAUUGUAGCCAGGACUCUGUUGAAUCAAAAGAUUUAAAGAGUAUUUUUUCAUGAUAUAUACCUAAAUAAUGGAUUAUGGUACUGGUUCUGCCCCCCCCCCCCCCCCCUCGGGGGGACUUUAGGGUGGAAAAAGAGUCCUUGGAAUGCAAUCGGAAAACGUGAAUCUUCACAUGAGCUCUUCUUUAACCCUAUAAAGCAGAUAUGAUCAUGUGAUCUCAGUGAUGAGCAUACAGCACAAAGACUUCGAUAAGAGAAUAUGAGCAGGAAAAGCCCCCAUUGGCACGCUAGGAACAAACGCUGGCCCCAGUGCUUUCUAAUGCUUAAUGCGAUGCGGCAAAGAUUGCACCCCCCUCCUCCCCCCAACAAGCCACUGCAUUUCCAUUUCAUGUUCAGCUGAGCGGAGUUGAGUAUGUGCAAGGAGUGUUAGCAGCCUAUCACACAGCCACCGGAGCGCAUUAGGACAAUUCACACGGUGCGUCCUAAUGCUCCAGGCUUCUUCCUAACAAACUCACACCUGUGAAGUGAAAAGCCCCACUAUGAAGGUUAUUGCUCUUUAAUUUAUCUUUAAUAAAAGCUUUUUAUGCAUUUUAAGAAAGAGUCGUUGACAGGUUUUCUUUUUUUGUAACAAAGAAGCACGUCGCUGAAAUGAAAAAACUACAAUUGCGGCAGCGUUUUCUUUCUCCUGUGUUGGUACGAGUGCAUGACAACGUUCUGGUUUGCGAGAGGCUCUGCACUGCCUUAGCACCUGUGGUGGCGGGUGUGGUUUGGCUCGGCUGCAGGGGGGACCGAGAAGGGAGUGGUUCAGGGAACGGUGCCGGGGGAGGCAUAAUCAGCCUCAAGUGGGAUUAAUCAAUCUAUGUGUUCUACCUUUAAGAAGGAGAAAUCCGGCGACAGCGAGAGAGAAUCUGGCAAAGGAGCUAGAGCCGGACGCGUACUGUGUGCAGACUGUGUUGCUAAAUAAAGUCGCUGUAUAUUCGUCAUUCCACGUUCCCCCAGAGGACCACACGUUACAGUGGCGCCCAACGUGACUGCGAGAUGGAACUGACCGAUGGCGACCACCACCUGGGGAGGCCGGCCCAGCCGAUUGUGGUGCUCGGCCACAUGAUCGGGGAACUGGCGGCCAUCCAACGGGAGCAAGCGGAGGCCAACCGACAGUUCCUGGUGGCGCUCCAGGCACAGGUGGGGAGACAGGCCCAGGCGCUGGAGCAGCUGGCGGCGCGGACUGUGUAACCAUAGCUCCCUCGUGAUGCUCAUCUCUCCGAGAGCCAGAGGGCGGACGUCGCCAGGUUGCAGGAGCGGUUUGCUAAUGUGUUCUCUCCCUUGCCAGGCCGGACCGACCUCAUAGUGCACAGUAUCGAGACGCCCCCGGGCGUGACGGUGAGGCCACGGCCCUACAGGUUGCCCGAACAAGUGGAAAGAAGUGGUUCGGAGGGAAUUGGCGAGUAUGUUGGAGUUGGGGGUAAUAGAAGUGUCCAACAGUGCCUGGUGCAGCCCCAUCGUCCUUGUGGCUAAGAAGGAUGCAUCUGUACGGUUCUGCGUGGAAUAUCGCAGGGUGAAUGACGUGACACGGUUCGAUGCCUACCCAAUGCCCCGGGUCGACGAACUCCUGGACCGGCUAGGCACUGCUCGUUUCUUCACGACACUGGAUUUAACCUAGAGCUACUGGCAGAUUCCUCUGUCGCCAGAGUCCAAUGAGAAAAUGGCAUUCUCCACCCCGAACGGUUUGUACCAAUUUGCCACACUUCCCUUCAGGCUGUUUGGGGCCCCGGCCACGUUUCAGUGUCUCAUGGAUCGGGUGCUGCGUUCGCACGCUGCAUAUGCUGCCGCCUACCUGGACGACGUGAUUAUCCACAGCACCACCUGGGCGGAGCAUUUGCGGCAGGUGGGCGCGGUGCUGGAGGCGCUUGGACAGGCGGGGCUCACCGCCAACCCCGGGAAGUGUGCAGUUGGACGGGUGGAGGUACGGUAUUUGGGGUACCACUUGGGGAGCGGGCAGGUGUGCCCUCAGAUGGACAAGACGGCAGCCAUCGCGGCCUGCCCGCGGCCCAAGACAAAAAAAGAGGCGAGGCGGUUCUUGGGGCUGGCGUGGUACUACAGGCGGUUCAUCCCCGGCUUCGCGGACCUCACCAGCCCCUUGACCGACCUGACCCGGAAAGGUGCGUAAGAUCCGGUCCAGUGGUCGGUGCAGUGCCAGCAGGCGUUUGAGAAGGUAAAGCAGGCUCUCUGUGGGGAACCACUCCUUCAUACUCCUAACUUCUCUCUCCCCUUUAUUCUGCAGACCGACACGUCGAACAGGGGUCCUGCUUUGUCCCAGGGGGUGGGGGGGGGGGGUGGACCGCCCCGUGGUGUUCAUCAGUAGGAAGCUGUCUGAGAGGGAGGCCAGGUACAGCACAGUGGAGAAGGAGUGCCUGGCCAUCCGGUGGGCGGUCGACUCCCUACGCUACUACCUCCUGGGACGCUCAUUCACCCUCUGUUCAGACCACGCCCCGCUCCAAUGGCUCCACCGCAUGAAAGAUGCCAACGCCCGGAUCACUCGGUGGUAUCUGGCUCUACAGCCUUUUAAUUUAUGGUGGUCCAUAGGCCGGGGCGCAGAUGGUCGUGGCAGACUUCCUCUCCCGCCCUCUCGGCGAAGGGGGGGGGGGGGGGGGGGGGGUAGGUUCGGCCGGAUGGCUCCCCGGCCUAAGUCGGGCGGUGGGGGUAUGUGGUGACGUGCGUGGUUUGGCUUGGCUGCAGGGGGGACGGAGAAGGGAGUGGUUCAGGGAACAGUGGCAUAUUCAGCCUCAGGUGGGAUUAAUCAAUCUAUGUGUUCUACCUUUAAGUAGGAGAAAUCCGGCGACAGCGAGAGAGAAUCUGACGAAGGAGCUGGAGCCGGACGCGUACUGUGUGCUGACUGUGCAGACUGUGUUGCUAAAUUAAGUCGCUGUAUAUUCGUCAUUCCACGUUCCCCCAGAGGACCACACCUUACAGCACUUUAUACGGAGAGUGUUGUCCACAUUCAGAGCUUUGCUUCUCAACAAUGCACCUCCUGGAAGAUUUCGUGCGAAGGGGUGUUCGCUCACCGAUGAGCUGACAAGGGGGGCUUCAUCUUUUUGUUACGCUCAGCAAACUUGCGCUGAGUCAGCAUUGCUCAACAGCGAAGUAAUGCAAUAAUCCACUCAUGAAACAGCAGAUUUAAAGGUGAGAUCUGUGUCAAACCUUCUUGUACUUCUUUGGGUCUCAAUUGAGUAAAAGACUUAAGCUUAUCAAUAAAAUCCGGGGGUGUAUUUUCUGCAUCACAAUUAUUCGAUACAGGAAGGGAAAAGACACAUUGCAAAAGACAAAUUGAGACGUACCAAGAGAUUAAAUAAUUCCUCAAAUGCUAAUAAAGCCGAAUCCCUUUCCAUUAGUGCAUUGGACUUCACAGAGGAAUGUCAGAGCCAUAAUGGACAUAAUCUAAUAAAACCCACUCAGGUGUAAAUCUGUGUAAAGCAGAGAUGUGCUGUACACACAUGCAGAAAGGAAGCAAAGCCUUGACACAAUCCCACGGGUCUCAUGACACAGAGUCUGCCGCGUCAUUGACUCAUGACUCAUGAUACUGAAUGUAUUUUUCGGGACUCAAAUUUGAAUGACUUUGUGUCACGGAAGCCUAAUAAAGAUAGACGUUGUUUAAUCAGAGAUGGAGGAGUAAGUGGUCGGCGCUCUCUGUGGAUACUCUAUGUUAGGGAGUAUUCAGAUUUUGAUUAACUGGUUGUAAAAUGAAAAUAUUUUAAGCCUGGAUUAUUGGCAAUGAUUGCAUGUGCACUGUCAAAAGUCACAUUUAUUCACGGCAAUACAAACAAAUUAUAAUUACUCAAUGAAUGAAAUUACAUCAACAGAAAGUUGCUGUUUGAUUUAUGUCUCUUGCUCAUUAUCAUCUCAUCACUGAAGAUUCUUAGUUUUCACCUCCACCAUUCGGGAUUGCUCUACAUAAAAUCCCCCUGAUGACGAUGUUCUACAAUAUAUUUAAAGCUCAUUUUUCCAAAUCCUAAAGUUAUGAAGUUACGAAUUUUCAAAUUAAAUUGCAUCAAAUUCUCAGUAAUAACUACUUGUAGUUUUUAUACAGUACAUUACUUCUAGCGCACAUGUGGACUCAAGCAUUUCCCCACGGUUCUCAUUCUGCUGAUCUAAGCUUAUUGUUCUGGGGCAUGACUAGGCGAUCUUUCUGGAAUCACUUUGGUCAUUGUGUUUUCAUAAAAACUAGUGUUGUGGUAGGGAUUGAAAUUAUACAUAUUUCCUCUCAUAAUCUACUCAAUGGAACAAAUCUGUCGGAAAAUAUUUUUUAAUGAACAGAACAUACCAUUCUGUUUCAGGUUUUAUGACCGUGUGAGUCAGACAGGUACAACUGGAAAUCUCCAAUGCCCCCUUUGCGUGCCCUGUGGAAAAGGAAUCCCUUCUUUCCUUUGUUGUGGUCUUUCAUCCUCACCUCCUAGUUGUUGUCCGACUUUCAUCCAAUGCUCAUUUUAGUGGUGGACCAGUUUUAUCAACCUCUUCAGUCCUUGCUGCUUUGCCACUUUGUCCUUCCACCUAUCUACGCCCCGAGGGACCUUUGACCGGUUGUCCAUCACAGGGCUAUCUCUACAGGUCUAUCCAAUCCACUUCUAUGAAAUAAAGUCACCCCAGUUUGAUGGCCUCAUUACAUCUUUCCUGAUUGAAAUAUUAUAAAGGGUUAUUUGGACUUGACUUCUAUGUAUUCCCUGUGUGCAUGUGUAGGCAUUACAGUCCAGUACAAUCCUAAUGUUGAUGUCACGGGAGAACAAGGAUUAGGACCCAAAUGCAACCACAGGAGCAACUAUAGGGUUACCAAAUGUAUUCGUUGCCCCAACAAGACGACGUGAGAAGGUAGGCAGAUCACGGUGUGAGUCCCGUGGCUCGACGCCGGAGGCAAGCGGAGUACCGGAACUCUACAGACGGAGAGAAAGUCAGUAGUGCACAAAGUCAGGCAAUGGAACUCACAGAACCGCAAUGGUGACUACCGGGGGAAGCAGACGAAACAGACUGACAACCCAAGCCUGCAGGGCUUCAGGGUCAUUCAGGGUUGAAAUAGAGCCGAUGACAAGUCCUCAUUGGUCUCGGCUAUGUAUCCUGACAGAAGAAAGUCCUAAAUUAAUUAAUAAAAAGACAACGCUCCCAUGGAAAAAAACUGCUUGUGAAUUGAGUGUUGAUGUUUUAUUUGGAUUUCUUUGAAGAACACUUGCACAUUAUGUAUCAAAAAUAAGUUUCACACAGAGCUUUAGACCAUGAGAUGGAACCUGUUAGUUAUAUUUUUCAUCACAUUAUUAAUACCUGUGACUGCUCUCCAGUUUAAAUUUUACUUUGAAAAGGUAAAUGCGAAUGCACUUCAGUUUCAUGGGAACCAAAAUUUUUGAUGGUGGCCUCAUAGCAAAAGAACCCCUUUUAGUUAUUUUAUUAGAGAGCUACAAAUCUAUCUAUUAUCCAUGAAUCAUUGAACUUUGCAGGGAUAUUUAAUUUAACAUAGUUACAGCCUCUCGCAUAGUGGUAAAAAGCAAAGGGUUUUACCAACAACAUUAAAAGCAGCUCUGUGCUAUUCAAAAGUCCCAGUUAGCCAUGUAUAACUACCGUCAAGAUAAAGACACAGAUAUUAAAGCAACUAUACAUAAUUCAGUCAUCAUUCAAUUGAUUAUUUUUGGCGGAAAAUGAUUAGCCUUGUUUGUAGUGCACAGCACAUCCUCUAUGUCUGUGUAAAUUCAAGGUGACGGUAUGUACUGUAUUUCUCAUAAUUAAUGAUAUACUGUGUAUACAGCUCAGGACUGCAGCUGUUUCGAUACAGUAAGCUAUUACUUUUGAUUGAAACAAGAGUGGAGAUGAAUGGAUGCAACGAAUUAAUGAUGAAUGAAUGAAUGGAUGGGUUCUGCAACUGCAAAAGUCAGUGGACCGGAAGGAAUCAUAAGAAUCCAAUAAUGGCCAAGAUACAAGGAAGUUACAUUUUAAAUCCAUGUCACCCUCUACUUAGCAGCACUCCCAUUAAAUCUCAGUCCAGACCUCUUGGAGUAUCAGCAGAGCUUACAGAUAUGACUCCCAAUCCCUCCAAUGAUACACUUUGAUCCUGGGACACAAAAAUCCUUUUUGUGCAUUAACGAGAUAGUUAAACAUUCCUGACACUCUGGAGAAGGAACAGUGUUUCCCAAUUUGGUAAAUGCCACAGCAGGGGGUAAAGGAGAAAGCUCCUUGCUCAGCUGCAAUAUAGGAUAAGAGAUGAAAUAUCCCCCAAAUGAGGUCUUCAACCCUGCAUCUGGAAUCCUCCGGUAAUCUCUUUCUGCUGCUCGCUUAAUGGCGGUGCAGAGGGGAGAGAGAAAGAGUAGAGUGAGAGAAUAGAAACACAAUGACAGACAAGGUCUCCAAUUGCAUGGCUUGUUACGAUUGGAGAGCAAAGGCCAUGUUGCAUUCCAAAUCAUUUGAAUUAAACACAAUUGCAGUGACUUCAAUUAAGUGUGAAAGGAAAGGUCAGCUAUGAAAGACGUGCGAUAGGUUUCUUUUUUUUUUUUUAAAGGGAAACAGAUUCCUUUACAGCCUCACUAUUUACUGCAUCCCAUCCAGAACUGUGUAAUCCCGUUAAGCAUAAAGAACCACAACAGCUUGUCAUUUCCAGAAACAGGUUUUUAUAUUUUAGGUUAAGGGGUGGUUUGCAUGCACCCUCCAUGCUGGAUUACUAAUUGAUCUUGUUUUACAUUGCAAAUGAGUCAUUCAUAUUAGUGUUGGCUCUGGCUCAAAGGGAGGGUGCAUUGGUCUUAUCCAGUCGCUGCAGGAUUUGAUUAGCAUUGCACAGAGAGUGAGUCUUGGCAGCAUCCGACAUAACCAUGCAAAUGUGAAUGAAUAGCUAAUGUAUCAUGGGAAGGAUGUUUGUUUCUCUCAUGUUGGAGAUUUCCGAGGGGAAUGCAUUCCAGGACGGCAAACACUUCCUAUUUCAGGGAGAAGAAAAUGCACCUCUCAAGCAGUGUGUACCAGUGCAAUACAGAUGCAGAAUGUGUGAAGUUUCAGUGUCUGAUAGCUUGUGGUGACAAUCACUCGCCCGGCAAGUCAAUCAUGUGCCUCGUACAGUGGAAGGUGCUUUUCAUAUUUCAUUCCCUUUUUGCUGUAUCAUUAUGACAAUGCCCCAGGCCUCUGGGCGCUUUUCCUGGAUGCACAGUCUUUUUUUCCCGGACUGAGAUGUGCCAGGUUGUGUCUGGAUGCGCACAAGCUGCCGUCACCAGUCAGGGUGAGCCAGCGAGCCUCUCGCACUGGGGAUCUUCUGGGCCCCGUGCACCUUAUCAGGCUAUCGUGAGCCUGUGCAGAACCGCAGGCGCUGAGAUGCUGUUCAGCCUCCCUGGCUGCUAGUCAUUUAUGGUUUGUUGACAGGGGUCAAAUCCAAUUGCAAACCAACUAUUUCUUAGUCUCUCUCCAAGACCAUUCGUUCCUGAGCUCUGAAAACCAUAAAAAAUCAUAUCAAACAGAAAUAUUCAUACAUGCCGUAGCUGGGACUGGGUCCGUGAUUAUCGGGAAUAUUGAUGUUCUUAUCGUUUUUGGUCAAAGAAGGAAAAACAUAUUUCAGAAAGAGGAGUUAAAAAGUUUGAUAUAUUGGAAACAACACUAGUUUGUGUUCUUAAUUGGAGGAAAUUGAUUCCACUAAACAUGCGCCAAGCUAACAUCUUAGCACACAGGCUAAAGUGUUUGUUGGCCUUCAGGCUGAGUGUGACUCACACUGAUUACCUCCUUUGUAGGAUAAUUACUUACAUUUACUAACAUUGAUUAGUAGGCUCUUCACCACAGGCAGACAUUGACUCUUGUUAACAGUCAGCCCCAUGGUAUUAAUACAACAAAAGGAUAAAACUUCUUCAAGGGUAACAAUAACACACGUUCAACUGCUGCCUUUAACUGUUCCCACAGGAUGCCAGAAAUCCACUGACGGUAACAGGAAAAUAUGUGAUGUCCACAUUGUGUUUUCAUGUCACAUUAAGCAAACAGCCAGCUAUUCCUGCUGAAUCUCACCAAGGACAAGACUUGUUUGUAGCACAAGAUUAAGACGGACUGAUAAUCGCUGCAGGGGCUUGGGACCCGCCUUUAAUAAUUUAAUUUAGAUGAUGCCCGAGUCUCUGCAUUCAUGUCAGGAACAUCUCGCCAGUCAUUACUGUCUGACAAUUGCAUUAUGGGUUGGUUGUGAACUCCCUUUGGCAUUGUUACAAGGCCAAAUCUCACGGCCCAAUGUCUGCAGAACUAUAACUUGUCUUUCUGUUGCACAUAGCAUUUGGCAGGACAACAUUUGAUUUGGACAUUAGCACAAACAUAAGCAUAGUUAGUGACAGCUACUUGUAAUUAACCACUGUACUGAGAGAGGUGAAUCCAUUCUCCUUACUACAGGGAACUCAAAGAGCAGAUCAUAUGGGAGAUUGAACCAUUCCAUACAUUCUUGGUCAUUACCUUACUCGGAUGACUUUCACGGGUUGCUUGUGAAUGAAAUAAAAUGUGUCUGUUAGUAAGCUAAUGAUAAGGAUCGCUAAUUAGCAUUAGUUUUCCGCUUGCAAAAGCGCAAUAGUUACAGAUUAAGAAUCCAUGCAAUAUUACAGUUACUUGAUGAAAAAUCAAAGAUGACAUUGCAUCUCCCACUCAGCGUUCACAUUCCAUUCCAGCUGUUGUUAAACUCCUCGCUAUAUUACAAUUAUUGGCAUCAGGAUCAUUUCAAACAGUCAUAGCAUCAGCAGAGGGAAUAUAUCAGUGUGCACUCAGCCAUAUGACAGCAGUACUUCACAGGUACUUCACGCUUUGCUUCAGCGCACCAGUCAAUACCUACAAUUCCUUACCACCGAUGCCAAAAUAACACCUUGUUUUGUUACUCUAUUUUUGUUUUGACUUUUGCUGAUCCAUAAUAGAAAGAGUAGGAGGUCCAUUCAAUUGCGCAGGUUUUGUAAAUAUGAUGGAAGCUGAAGUAUUGUAGUGUGCAUUUGCUGCGGGUUGGCCGUGCUGCUGAUAAUACUACGUUUACAAAUGUACGUAUAUGAGGGCCUAAGAUUAAUUAAGUAAGUCAGAGCUUUAGUAGAAGUAAGAGAACAAAGAGGUUAACUCUUCUGCUACUAGAAUCUUAAAGCUGAUUGUGUUUUUUAGUUUUUGCAUUGUUUGUGGUUUGCUUCAUCUUCAAGUGUGGUUGAAAUGAAAACACAUUUUUGCCGUUUUUCUAAGAAAACUAGUCAGUCUAGUUUAAGGAAAUAUGAAGGGUUCAGAUCCGCCUUCUGCCUGCUUCAAUCUACAGCAGGUUAUACAACCCUACUCAGAAAAACUGCAUCAUGUCAGGCAGCCCUUUCUGUCAGGAAAUCACAUCAGUGCAAUUCAGUGGCACAAACAAAUAGAAAUGGCUUGAGUGUCUUGAGUGUUUUAUUUUAUUUUAUUUUGUGUUUUCUGCUUUGUUUCUUCACUUCCUGCCUGGUCCUGUCAUUCCCUGUGAUUGUCUGAUCGUUUCCACCUGUGUCCAAUCACCUGCACCUCCCAGUGUAUUUAAGCCGUGUGUCUCUUGUUCCUGUUCCCGAUCCCGAUCCUGGUUCCUGUUUCUGCCUUCGUUUUUGCCUUUUUGGCCUUUUGAUUUUGAAAACCUUUUUUGACUAUUAAAGUCCCUUUUGUUUCUCAAGAAACUCUGCGUUUGAGUCCUGCCUUUUUUUCCCACGCAACUCCCAUGACAUUGAGAGUCAACUAAAUCAACCUCGUUGCGAUCUUGAAAUGUUGCGGAUACCUCAGAAAUUUGGUUUUCAUUAACCAGAUGUUAAGUCAAACAGCAAAUAUGCCUCACCUUGCAAGCUACAGUGAAAAACCUGGGAAUCUGUAGGGAGAAAGAAAACCGCUCUGGUGUGGCUUAAAUAUUGGAGGACCCUAAUUGAUAACCAGCAAGAAAAGGGUUGGGUCCACCCGGGCCUACGUUAGGUCAGUAGGGACAUUUCACUGUCAGUUACACCUUUCUUUUUUAAGUACACAAAGUAGUGUUACAUCAACCCUUUCACACCACACAUAGUGGUAUGAUCCACUGUUAAUAACAAAUAUUUAUUAGUGAAGCUUCAAAGGCACUGAUCUCUAUUUAUUCUAUUAUAACAAUUUACCUACAUUAUGACUAAAAUCUGCAGCUCGCGUCAGCUUUAGAGAUAUAUAGUGGGUCAGGUCAUUCUUAAACUUUCAGGCCAUAACUUUGUUUUUGGUUACCUUUCACUUCUCUCAUAUUGAGACUUUUAGCUGAAGCUGACAGCUGCAGAAAAGCUGUAAUAUUCCACUAUGCUCUACCUGGUCAACAGACAAGGAAAGCGCCUGCUUAGCAGUUUAAUAGGGUGGAACAUUUAGCACUGGCAUAUAUCUUAUUAACUGUUGUUGGUGACAAAUAGCAGCUUAAUAGUGAGCUUAAUAAGCAGCUGUCUCACAGCUUUCUGGAGAGGCGCUUGUAGAAACAACUAAACAACAAUUGUCUGUGUCUCUGAUUUUUCAACAUGUAUUGCCAUUUGAAUGUAACAAUGCCUAUUUGUCUUAGUGCAUCACAAUGUGCAUAUGUUGUUUUGCAUUUAAAAAACAGAAUAUAUUGGCUCCUUCAGUAUGUUGUUGUAAUUUGUUUAUUUGUUACUAUAAUUACUAAUUUUCUCCGGCCCCUUAUUUUGCCUUAAUUUCAUGAACUGGCCCCAAUUCCAAAUUAAUUGAAGAGCCCUGCACUAUACCGUGCAUUCACUCUACAAAUUAUUUCAUGCAGAGUUCGAGCUGGAUGCAUACUUUUCAGAUUGAUCGGACAUGCAAAUCAUUGCGGUGGGAGGAAUUGAAUGUGAUCUGAUCCCUUACCUUACGCACUCACGGAAUCGCAAAACAGUUGUUUCCGAGAGAAAGUCUUACUAUUAAAAUCAGCUGAUAUGACUCAACUUCGCUGAUAUAGUUCAUCCUGCAGCAUCAGGGCGUACCUUUUGUUGCAAAACAUAAUAAAGUCAAGUAUGUAAAUUAAUAUACUGUAUGUAAGUUCUCUUUAAAAACUAUAAGAGGGCUGUCUAAAGUGUGCUUCGACUAUAGUUGGUUUGCAAGUUAACUUAGUUUUUGUUUUUUUUAAGGUGUGAAGUAGUUUUAGGACAAUAUAUUAGACCUUCAUUAAAAAUCCAAUCCGGUUCAUUACUCCUGGUUUCAGUUAGCUCCCACCAGAGUGGCUCAUUUAAUCAUCCAUUUCACAUUGAUGAUUAAAGUCUCAGAAAUAAGUCUCUGUUUUCAUCAGGGCAGGAUCAAAGCCGGCGACAGGUCAUUUGACAAGCCUAUUUGAAGAAUCCUCACAGACUUUUGUUUCUUGCCACUGGUGUAGUUCAUUUAUUUUGCCAAAAUCAGCAUGAAAGUCAUCUGCUUCAAAAACAUACUAUCAUGAUUUAUUGCACUUAAUACAUAGUGAUUAAAAAAUUUCCUUCUUGCUUUCCGUCUUUAUGCUAACCCAUGUUGACCAUGUUCUGAUUGGAGUUUAAUAUCCAUCACAUCUCACUUUUUGAUGGGGGGAGAUAACUUCUACUUUAACUCUGACCUCUGAAUCAGCAGCCAGAAAACAGCCUCAAACACAUUGUUAUUCCUUCCGGAUGCCCAUCUUUUCAGAAAGGUUCACUGAAGGACUUUAUAUUUGUUAUGUAAUCUCCCGCUUUAUUUGCUCCAGUACAUACUACACCCCCCUGAGACGUUUCUUCACAAACACAUUGUAAAGCGAGGGGAAGCAUUUGACUGCAUCUACAGGUGUGAAAUGUUGAAUCUUGAGUUAGGUAUCUUAUGAGCUGUGAAAACAAUACCUCCAACAUGUCACAAGUAAUCCAGCAAUGUGAUGCUGUCUCAUGGUUGACUGCCUUGGGGCUCAGUCCCAACCAAUGGUUUCUACUUUGGCAUGUUGAAUUGCAAAUAAGCCUACAGCCUUAAGCAUAAAUCCUGGUAUAACAUUUACUAUAGUUAUUUACAGAGGCAGUUUGUGUGUUCAUGUGAAGUCUCAACCAGCUUUCUAUCAGCAUUAUAAUGUCCAUCUCUACCUUUCCCUACGGCCCCCUGGGAAGUGAGCAGUCUUUUUUCUGGCGGUUGUGACAUGCUGACAGCUCCUGGAAUGGUUUCAGGUAGCACAUCUCUGUAACCACAUGUGACCGUUACAGAGCCAUCUUUUUCUUGCUCUUCAUCCAGCCAUGCAUUCGACGAACCACUGUUGAUCUGGAUGAUUUACCGGCACUGCGUUGGUGAUCGACCGGAUCCCCCUGGUCUAACGCAUGCGCUCACUCACAGAGUAUGUGUCCCAGUGCACUUUUUAGGAAUAGCAGCUACUUUUAUAGAAAUGCAAUUUAUGUCUGUAUAUCUCACAAUAGCAAAGUCAUCCGGCGGUCCGCACUGGACCCCCCGGCGGGCCGGAUGUGGCCCGCGGACCUUGAGUUUGACACUUGUGAUUUAUAACUUAAGUGUCAACUUUCAGUGCUGCUGUACGGAGAAGUGAGUUAUUUAUGUUUAUGAAGAGAGGUCAGGACUAAGGUUAGCUGUAGCUCAGUACAUAGCGUUACUAAUGGUUUAAUCCUCAACCAAUUUUGUCAUACAGUUAGGGAUGAAUAUAGUUGGGUUUUUUUACAAUACUAAACCGUUUAAAACGAUACCAGUGCCUAAACCGACUUUUGGAUUAAAAAACUCACAUAACAACGAUUGAUUAACUUUUUAUUGCCAUGGCAAUUUUUUUCUUCAAAUUGAAUAAACUACAUUAUCAAUACUGUACAUAUAAAUAAAUAAAAAAACACUUGACUAAAAACUAAAGCUUCAAACCUUUUAACUUCAAACUAUGAACAAUAUAUGAACUGUUUACAGUUUACAGCAUGAUUACAGUGUUUCUCGUCUGUAGGAGCAGGAAGUGUAUUUAUUAGAUCAUUGCAAUUUGGGAAAUAUUAAUCAUUGUGUCUGCCUGUGUCCAUUGGGACAAAACUGCCGUGUGCAGCUAAAAACUUUCAGACUUUAAUAACUGAGGGGAAACACUGACUUAAAUAAGUUUAAAUAGAAGGUACAUGGCUAGCUAGCUACUGUAGCUAGUGACACAACGCCCAAGGUUAUAUUUUACUAGAAGUCCCUCUGGUUCAUUCAUGUGUUCACCUGCAUAGGAUGCUGUAGGAAAGGUCUUUAAUUUCUUAAGUUAUUUUUCUUUCCACUUUCCAAACUCUUUCCAGUUCACAUUUUGUUACAGCAACGUUUUAUUGGUUGUGAGAAAUGUUCAACUUCACCUUCAGCUGAUUUCUUGGCUUUUAUUACUUGCUAAAUGUUUUUACAAAUACAAUCACAAAAGGGCUCACUGAAGAGGACUGCAAAUCAACACAUUGUUUUAUGCGGAGCAAAAUGCACCGUACAAUAGAUCCGUCUCACAUUGAUGCUGUGUGAUGGUAUCGGAUUCCUGUUCGGCCAUUACAGAGACACUCUAUGCCUUCUGGCUUCCUUUAUGGCUCACUGAGAUCAGUCAGAUCAACAAACCUGCUCACUUUAUCAGCAUUGUAAUUUAUCUCAAAAGACAACUUAAUAGUCUCUUUACAAGGGCACAUCAAGAAAACAGAAAAAUAGUCUAUUAAACUGUUUUCUCUGUUAUUUUCUAUCUCUGGCACACAGUCAGCCAGAAGUAUAUGAUACAUCUAUCAAAAAUAACUACUCCAAGCACCUCCAAAAGCUAUAGGCCUUUGAUUGAAGAACAUAGCUAAUCAGUCAAACAAGAUUACAGAUAAAAAGCUGAGCUUGAGAUUUUUUUCUGUCUGGAGACAAAGGUUGAGGUAAUUCUGACAUUGCAAGAUUUGAAACAUAAAUGCUCUCAUUUGGAGGGUCUAGAGUGACAUGCUGGGUUCAAAGUAAUCACCUCCAUCAGCAUUUUGUCAGUGUCUACCAGCUGGCUUCUGGAUCAAACAGAGCUCUACAGCAUAUCUAGCAUGCAGCUGAAAGCCUGACAAAUGGAAUAACCAUAGAGUGUUUUAGAAAAUAACAAUCAUUCUUCUCACACUUCCAACUUAACUCAACAUCAAAAAAAAAAUAGAAAAGGGAAAAUGCCCACAAGCAUCUCCAGGCUUCGAUUUGUAUUGUAUCCAUUGCCCGAGAAAGCCUGAAUCAUUGCGCAAUUCUGAGAAAAGGAACCUGCAGCGAAACAUCUGAAACCGAGAAAGAAGUCUGUAUUGAAGUAUAAUCCUGUUAGUUAGUUACACAACUCUCUAACUAAGAUCUGGAGGUUCUACCAACCCGCUCUGUAUUGGCCUAAAACUGAUACCUGAACAUGACAUCAAUCUGGCUGGUUCUGUCAACUCCACUUCUUGGUAGGGACCAUGCCCAAACAUAGGAGUGGGCAAUCAUUUUUCACAAUGGGCCACAUAACAAACAGGGACUGUUGUGGAAUGCACGACCAAUGGAAUGAAGCCGAUCCUGCUCUAUGUCAUUCCACCUCUUUAUAAUAAUCAGUACAUUGUAUGGUUUUGAUAAGAGUGGCAAGAGCACAUAUUAUGAUCAGUGGUGGAAUGUAACUAUUACUGUAUAUUUGCCUAAGUAUUGUACUCAAGUACAAAUUAAAGAAGCAUUAACUAGGCUUUAGUUAGCUAUUUGGGAGAUGGGGGGCUCAAGUGGGGCCAGGCCCCAUGGCCCUCUAUGGGCCAGCUACCAAUGGUGGCAACCUGUAAAUAUGCACAGGUUGUUUAAAUCAACACAUGAAAGGGUCUUUACAGUGAGACGAAGAACACUCGUUCCCUCCUAAUGAUUAUUUACACAGUCCUGACAGUGCCACAGUAAUUAUUGUGUAACAUAACACAUCACAGCAAUCAGACCAAAUGUUCCCAUAAUGGUCGGGACUAUCAGUGCUAUGGAUAAUAUUUAAAUUCACAAACUUACAAUUCUUUUAGGAUUAAUACUGAUAAUGAGGAUGUGGAGUAAUUGUUCGAUGGCUGCAUGACUCUCAUGUGCAGGUGGUGAAUGUGUGCCAAGGGCGGGGGCUGAGUGACAGUUACUGCAGGGAGCGUCUCAUUAGAUAGUUGAUUGCCCUUUGGCUGUGUACCGUGGGCUGUAACUGUCGUCAUGUAAUAAACCAUGAAUUCCUAGAGGAAGUUCAGUCAACUGCAUCGAUCUUAUGCGCAGGCAAAAAUCAUAAUUGCCCCGUAUUAGAAGAUAAUUGCUCCGUUCUUUAACUGGGUUUUACUCGAGAGGUGCGAGAGCCUAUACUUUAUUGUCAAUAAUGUUACAGUUCAAGGGUGUUAGGCAAAAACUUGAACAGUAUCAAUAUUGCCGAUAAAGUCUCAGGAUCCCUGAGUCUCAUUCCCACAUGUGGGUCAUCCCCCUGUGUGUUUUGCCAUGUUCUUGUUGUGAGUGUGUUCUUGGUCCCACCUCCAGACGGCGCCCAUUGCCACAUCCCCCGAGCAGUAUGUAGCUGAGACCAAUGAGGACUCGUCAACGGCUGUAUUUCAACCUUGGCCUUGCAGGCUUGGGUUGUCAGUCUGCCGUUCUGUCAGUGCCAUUGCCUGACUUUGUGCACUACCGACUUUCUCGCUCUCUGUCUGUAGAGUUGUGGUACUCAUCUUGCCUCUGACGUUGAGCCACAGAACUCACGCCGUGAUCCGCCUACCUUCUAACGUCGAGUCACGGGACUCAUGUCGUGAUCCGCCUACCUUCUGACGGCGAGUCACGGGACUCAUGUCGUGAUCCGCCUACCUUCUGACGGCGAGUCACGGGACUCAUGUCGUGAUCCGCCUACCUUCUGACGUCGAGUCACGGGAC